rnacentral:rRNA from 1 species
UACGUAGGAUGCGAGCGUUGUCCGGAAUUAUUGGGCGUAAAGAGAACGUAGGCGGUUUCUUAAGUUUGGGCUUAAAGACUGGGGCUCAACCCCAGGAGUGGCUCGAAAACUGAGAGACUAGAGGAUGGCAGAGGAAAGUGGAAUUCCCAGUGUAGCGGUGAAAUGCGUAGAUAUUGGGAGGAACACCAGUGGCGAAAGCGACUUUCUGGGCCAUUCCUGACGCUGAGGAGCGAAAGUGUGGGGAGCGAACAGG